rnacentral:rRNA from 1 species
AGUGAACGCUGGCGGUAGGCCUAACACAUGCAAGUCGAACGGCAGCACAGUAAGAGCUUGCUCUUACGGGUGGCGAGUGGCGGACGGGUGAGGAAUACAUCGGAAUCUACUUUUUCGUGGGGGAUAACGUAGGGAAACUUACGCUAAUACCGCAUACGACCUACGGGUGAAAGCAGGGGAUCUUCGCACCUUGGGCGAUUGAAUGAGCCGAUGUCGGAUUAGCUAGUUGGCGGGGUAAAGGCCCACCAAGGCGACGAUCCGUAGCUGGUCUGAGAGGAUGAUCAGCCACACUGGAACUGAGACACGGUCCAGACUCCUACGGGAGGCAGCAGUGGGGAAUAUUGGACAAUGGGCGCAAGCCUGAUCCAGCCAUACCGCGUGGGUGGAGAAGGCCUUCGGGUUGUAAAGCCCUUUUGUUGGGAAAGAAAAGCAGCAGGUUAAUACCCCGCUGUUCUGACGGUACCCAAAGAAUAAGCACCGGCUAACUUCGUG